CCAUGCCGCGUGCAGGAAGAAUGUCUUAUGGAUUGUAAACUGCUUUUAUACAAGAAUAAACAUAUCUACGUGUAGAUAUCUGAAUGUAUUGUAUGAAUAAGAAUCGGCUAACUCCGUGCCAGCAGCCGCGGUAAUACGGAGGAUUCAAGCGUUAUCCGGAUUUAUUGGGUUUAAAGGGUGCGUAGGCGGGACAUUCAGUCAGUGGUGAAAUUUUCAGGCUCAACCUGGAACCUGCCAUUGAAACUGAUGUUCUUGAAUUUAAUAGAAGUAUGAGGAAUGUGUAAUGUAGCGGUGAAAUGCUUAGAUAUUACACAGAACACCAAUUGCGAAGGCAUCAUACUAUGUUAACAUUGACGCUAAUGCANGAAAGCGUGGGUAGCGAACAGGAUUAGAUACCCUGGUAGUCCACGCCGUAAACGAUGAUUACUAGUUAUNGGCGAUACACAGUCAGUAACCAAGCGAAAGU
rnacentral:rRNA from 1 species